rnacentral:rRNA from 1 species
GAACGCUGGCGGCGUGCCUAAUACAUGCAAGUCGAGCGAACGGACGACAAGCUUGCUUUUCUGAUGUUAGCGGCGGACGGGUGAGUAACACGUGGAUAACCUACCUAUAAGACUGGGAUAACUUCGGGAAACCGGAGCUAAUACCGGAUAAUAUUUUGAACCGCAUGGUUCAAAAGUGAAAGACGGUCUUGCUGUCACUUAUAGAUGGAUCCGCGCUGCAUUAGCUAGUUGGUAAGGUAACGGCUUACCAAGGCAACGAUGCAUAGCCGACCUGAGAGGGUGAUCGGCCACACUGGAACUGAGACACGGUCCAGACUCCUACGGGAGGCAGCAGUAGGGAAUCUUCCACAAAGGGCGAAAGCCUGACGGAGCAACGCCGCGUGAGUGAUGAAGGUCUUCGGAUCGUAAAACUCUGUUAUUAGGAAAGAACAUAUGUGUAAGUAACUGUGCACAUCUUGACGGUACCUAAUCAGAAAGCAACGGCUAACUACGUG